rnacentral:lncRNA from 1 species
UUGAAAUCAAAUUUGAUCUCUUGGUGAUUAAUUCAUCGUGGUUGUGUGUGUUGGAGAUGAUGGAUGGAUAUUCUCUUAUAGACUAAAAUUUGUCAAAAUAUUUUCAAUUGUGAGAUUGCCUAUUUUAGGGGGUUUUGAAAUUUUAAAAAAAAAAGGAGAAAAAGAAACUCCUAUGUUUAAAAGAUGUGGAAAGAGUUACAUCCUUAAAGGAGUGUGAAAACUACCACCACAUGUAGGAAAGAGCUACCACCCCGGUCGUCCGGCAAGUGUGUGAAGCUACCACAUGAAAAUUGAAUUGAUUAAACCGAAAAAAAAUUGAAAAGAAACAAUUGAAUAUUUUAGAAUAUUUCGGAGUAAUAAGGUGUUAGUUUGAAUAAGAUGCUCAAAGAGCCACCCCCGGUAUCAUAUUGGUUAGAUCUCUAUUUUGAACAUAUUGCGAUAAAUUGGUGUCAAUUUUAUUGAAUUUCUAUAAAUUAUUUUUUUCAUCAACUUACAUCUUGAUGGUUUUGAAUUAUCAAAUCAUUUUUUAUAAUGAAAUUUUGAUGUUUUGAUGGAUUUUGAAAUUUUAUAAUAUAUUAUUUUCAUUCUAAUGAUUUUUGGAGUAAAAUCUUUAAUUUAUAUGAAAUUAAUUUAAUUUGAUGGAUUUUUAAAAUCAUAUUUUCGAAAUCUGGCAAAGUGUACCGGUACAAAAUCCCGUGUACCGGUACAAGUCACUGUAGCCGCGGAAAUAUAACCGGUUACAGAGAUUUCUUUCUCACUCUAAUCCAAACCAAAUUUCGAUCUUUCUCUCUCUAAAAUUCCCUGGUG